AAAAAAAAAAUUGCAAAUGAGACCCAUACAAAUCAUUAAAAAAUGAAAAAUAAAACCCAUUAAAAGUUACAACAUCUUCAACCUCGGUUUCUUCCUAUCCAACUGCUGAUGCCUUCUUUUUGAACCCAUCUUCAACCUCGGUUUCUUCCUUCCGCAACUCAGCUUCAACCCCCAAUUACUUCCCCAACCAAACUUCAAUCCCAAUUUCCUCCACCCAACUCGUUCCCUUUUUCCUUGAAUGAAUGAUUAUCAAUAAGAAUAUCCUAUAAUCAUAUUACCUUGAAUAUUGACAUAAAGCUAAAAAGUUAAAACUCUCAUCCAUAAGCGAAAACCGAUAAAAACAGCCAACAAAAUCGAAAAAUCUGUGGUAGAAUAUGGACCCAAUUAUCUACACAUUGCAAAUAAAGAAUUUUUAACUCAGUUGAAAACUUCCUAAAUUGUUAAGACUGCCAUGGGACUGAAUAGGUUGGGGAGGAAGAACUGAAGAAACAGGGAUGGAGAUGGAUUGGGAAAGAAAUAAUCGAAGAUUAUUGUCACAAAUUAUUUUAAUUUUAGACAACUUUAUUUGUUUGCUGUAGGUGG
rnacentral:lncRNA from 1 species